UGUGUCUCUGCCUCUCUCUCUCUCUCUGUGUGACUAUCAUAAAUAAAUAAAUAAAAAUUAAAAAAAAAGAAAAUAUGGAAUUUAAAAAAAAAAAAGAAAAGAAAAGUAGCUCUAGACACUCCACGUAGCUGCGGAUUCCACCUCCUAUCAUGGUGCUCCCGUUACAUAUGUCCUUGAGCACUCCAUUUUGACCUUGACCCUUCACAGUCCUUCCUUGAAGGAGGUUAGAACACACAACCAACAAUGGGUUUGAAGGUGAACAAUGCUUCCUUCCACAGGCUGUUAGCAAUGAAGGGCCGAGACCUGAUGGGACAGGCUCAAGCUCUGGACUGCCCCGACGGGCGGCUGUGAUCCCCGGUUGCACAAGAGCCACUGUUCUCCAUCGGGCCGACUCGGUGGUGAUGCUACGGGAAGGAAAUCGGAUUGAGACACUAACAGCCAUGGUUUGAGAUAGCAGACCUCUUAGAAAAGACAUUCAUAAAGGGAGCGACCUUAAUCCAGGAACUUAGACCAUCCAGAUUUCCUUCUGAAGCAAUCCACAAAUUGCUGUUCAGCCCCUAAAGAAGAUGCGGCCACCUCUUCCCGACAGAGGGGAGCCCACAUUUGUAACCAUCACUGCAGCCCGAGGGGCUAGGACCUGUCUCCUAGGACCAGCUGAGGACAAGCACGGAAUGCCUCGCUGGCCGCACGGACUCAGCCACGCGGAGCUGGCGGUGGCCUCUGUCCCCAGGUCACCUGGCCCACCGCGGUCACAGCCCCCUGGGGCGCCAACCACAGGACGCCUCCCGGUGGCGCAAAGGGCCAGUGCCGCCUGGAUGUGAGCCCCACUCCUGCGCCGGAAGCAGACGCAGGGGUGCAGGCGAAGGCCACGUGGCUUGGGACUCGCUAUGACUUGCCCGAGGGCGCUCUGACCAAGCACCCCAAAGCUCCCAGCAGCCCUGCUCAAAGCCUGCACCAGGCCUCUCUGCGAAUGAGGAAACCGAGGCCGAGGGCACAGAGCGGUACUUAAAAUCAGGCGGAGAGAGCCAGAGUCCACCCCAGCCCAGAUCCACCUGCCGCCAGCCCUGUCUACCUUCCGCACCCCGCCCGCCGCUCAUCCAGAGGGGAGGGAGUCAGAACAGCCCCUCGGCGCAGCACCUAACGCGGGACCUGACACGUAGAUAUUCAAUAAAUGUUCGUGAAACGAAUGACUUCUGCUCCGACGCGAGAAGCUCGCAGGUACCCCAUAUUAGCAGGACCUACGACAAAACCUCCUUUGGCCUGCAUCUCCCAAGGAGGUAGUAUUGUGCAGGCAACGUGGUCUCAUACUUUUUGAAGCUAUUUAAAUGACUAUCAGUCUCUCUCAUGUAUUUUUUUAUUUUAAUUUUUAUUUUUUUUCAUGUUUUUUUUUUUUAACAUUUAUUGAUUUAUUUGGGAGAGAGUGUGUGCAAGAGGGGAGAGCGGCAGGGGGGGAGGGAAUCCUGGAGGAGACCUCUUGCUGAGGACGGAGCCUGAUGCGGGGCUCCAUCCUACGACCCCGGAGACCACAACCCAGGCUGAAACCCAGAGUCAGACACGCGAUGGAAUGAGCUACCCAGGCGCCCCCUCUCUCAUGCAUUUUAAAUAACACUUCAUAUUUGGCUCUUUCCCCCAGGCAGUGUGGCAAAGCCUAACCUGCAGCACUGAUAAACCCAGGGUGUGCACACGUGCAGUAACACCCCCCCAUACACGCACCAGGCAGGGCUGGAGAAGUGGGGGUACAGGCUGGGGGAGGGUGGCUGGAAUGCACAGACACCUCCAAGACCUUGUCGCACUUAACAUCCUUGACCUUCUGUCCCCACCAGAUGUUAGUAGCGAGGAAAGGAGACCCUGAAGUUUGGCUCACUCUCCCCGCCUUGCUGCCAACAACCAAUAGUAGGAAGCCGGGAAUACUCAAGGCACAGGAGGAUCGAACAAAGCUCUCACCCGACGUCUUUCCUCCCCUGCCAGCUCUGAGUUAUAAUCAUAGGAAACGAUUCGAUGCUUUAAGAAAGUCCCCUGGGAGGGCGCGUUCCUAGAGUCCCGGGAUUGAGUCCCACAUCAGGCUCCCUGCAUGGAGCCUGCUUCUCCCUCUGCCUGUGUCUCUGCCUCUCUCUCUCUCUCUCUCUCUC